rnacentral:rRNA from 1 species
GUCCACGCCGUAAACGAUGAAUGCUAGGUGUUAGGGGUUUCGAUACCCUUGGUGCCGAAGUUAACACAUUAAGCAUUCCGCCUGGGGAGUACGGUCGCAAGACUGAAACUCAAAGGAAUUGACGGGGACCCGCACAAGCAGUGGAGUAUGUGGUUUAAUUCGAAGCAACGCGAAGAACCUUACCAGGUCUUGACAUCCUUCUGACCGUCCUAGAGAUAGGGCUUCCCUUCGGGGCAGAAGAGACAGGUGGUGCAUGGUUGUCGU